rnacentral:misc_RNA from 1 species
CUUAUUUCUUCUAGGAUGACAACUUUACACAUACAUACAUCCUAGUUACUAACAGGACAAUCACGAAACACAAUUAACAAGCGACUGAAGUUGUUCAGUAAAAAUGAAUUUAGAGAAAAAGAACCAACGAGCGUUAACAACUUCAAAGUUCAACUAUAUCGCAAUGCACUCCGACCUAGUUUCUAGCUCUAACCAGUAGUUUAAAGGGGGGAAAGCAAUGCUGAACUGACACAACAGAUUGAUAAGAUAGACUAAUAUAACAAAAACCCUCAUCUAAAACCCAUGUAACUCGACAAGGAAAAAGGCAAUUGCCUAAAAUAAGCCACAAAAACAAAAGAAACAAAAAAAAUUCAUAAACCCAAACCAAGGUCUGAAACUAAUCAAAGCUAAAAAUACCAAGAAACUGUCCCAUGAGGGGAAAUGGGGCUUCCAUACUUUCUCAACUCUUCUAGAAACAGAUGCCUCUAGACUUCCUGCCAACUAUUGAAUUUUCUCUUAGAACUUAUUUCCAGCAACAACCAACUCCAAAUGCUGCUCGGAUAAUAAGGGCAGCAAUGGUUAUGAGAUCUAACCAAGCACCACUCAUGUGCAUAUCAUCUUGUCAUAAAGCUCCAAUCUAGGACCUCUUAACCACAGACCACCCUUCAUUAGCUGAAGUUAGCAUCCAUUAGAAGCCCCAUUUGCUACAGGUUUCUUUUCUGAUACAGUGACCGGUUUAACAUCCUUCACAUCAUCUCCAGUUUUUGUAACUGGUACAAUUUCGGUAAGCUUGACUUCCACAGUGCUAGUCUGGGCAGCAGCCGGUAAAUUUUCUUUGUUCAAACAAGCUGAAACUUCUGUAGGUUUUUGUGGCUUGAGAUCAACCUUUGAAUGAUCUCUGUUCUUCUCUUCAGUAGUAGCUUUACCUUCCCAUACCUGAGACUGUUUCUGGAAUAGCUGUUGCUUGGCCUUCUUAUCCUGAAUUCUCUUCUGACGAUCCUCAUAGAACUCAAAAUCAUCAAGGAUACACUGUUUGCUAAUAUGAUCCUUAAAUAUCUUGAGCACUUGCAGACCCUGCUCCACUUUAACCUCCUGAGUAUCUCUGCUGUUCGUAACAGGCUUGUUCUCGUUGUUUUCCAGUGUAAUGUGUUUCAACAAGCUAUUGGGUACAUCCUUCACAAUGUGCCACUUGACAGGAAAACAGCCGACCCACUUGUCUUGCUGCCAAUACUCCACAUUCUUGUUGAAAUCAACUGGCCCUACCAUCUCUGCAACACCAACAAACUGCCCACUUGUAUUUACCGAGAAGAAAAGAAAAACUGGGCAGCCUCCAGAAUUUUGUUGAGCCUCUUGGUAAGCAGCAUCAAGCUUCUUGUUGCCAUUUGGUGUGCUAGCCCACACAUUAUAUUUGAUGCUUUUGUGCACAUCGUCUUCACUGUAAGACUUGAUGAUAAAGAACUUGGCAUCAGCAUAUGUCACUGGAAAAUCUGGAUGGUUGUAUUGUUCUCUGUCAGGCAUCAGGCUUGGUUUAUCUUCCUCGGCAUCUUUGGUUACAGCAAGAGGGAUGUUCUGCCCCUUGACUGCCAGAGCAACUGGUGUAGAACUCUUCUGAUUCUUGGAUCCUUUACCUCUCGGUCCCCUGUUGAGCUCAUUUAAACCAUCCAUGUUUUCAUUGCCAUAGCCAUAGAAACUAUUUCCUCUACCCCUGGGUUUAGACCUGUUAUCAACUGUCAUCCACCCACCACGACCUGUAGCGCGAGUAUCAUACCGGUUAGGCCCAAACCCCAUGCCAGAAUUGAAUGAGUUCCCAAACUGCCCAUAAUAUUUGUUGGGAUACAUCCUAUUCAUAUACCCAUUAGUUGUGUUCACACUAGAUGAAGACCUUGGGUGGUGCAUGCCCAUUACAUGUGGAUGAACAUUCUGAUUCUUUGUUGAUGGAGCAGCAUAGCCAUUUGAAAAUGAUGGCGUAAAAGAAUUGUUCACCACUGGCCUAGCUUGCCCAUCAGUGAACAUUGACCCAUCAAUCCAUGGAAUAGGAGAACGAACACCAUCAAAACCCAGUCUAGGGUCCUGAUAACCUGAAGCAGCUCCUCCUGGCAAUGUGCCAGGUCCAUAAGAGCCAUUAGCAUUUAAGGAUGAAUUCUGGAAUGCAGGCCUCACAGGCAUAUGCCCAGUAUUUCCCUUUACACCACCAUUCACAAUGACAUUUGAGUUCCCUUUAGCAGAAUCCACAGAUAAUGAUGUUUGGUCAGCAGCUGCUGCAGAAGUGGCAAUCUCACCUUUUGGCAGGGCAGCUGAACUAGUGUUUGAAGUACUGGUCAGGGGGAGAGGCUGGAAAUACGGAUAGUGAUAUUGUUGCGAUCCAUAAAGUUGGCCAUCAUGCCCCACAGUAGGGACAGGCGAAGUAGCAGGUGAAUAUGGACUAUAGGGUGCAUAACCAUAGGCAUGAUGAUAGAUAAGUGAACUGUUGUCUCCAUAAACUCCAGGCAUCUCAACUCCAUCCGGAUUCGUAUAUCGUGCAUAGUCCUCCCACUCGUUAGCAGAAGCAUCAUAUCCAUAAUAGUAUGCUGUUGAGGCAUAACUGUUAGGAACAUAGCACAAAUUUGGAUCCAUGAAUUCUGGCAACACAGGUGUCACAGACCGAUCAGCCGACUGAAGCUGACCGUUUGCCCCAUCUGUAGGGUUCCCAGAAGGCUUCUUUUUUGUAUCUGCAAUUUCAAGAGUCUUAUUCCGAGAAUCCAGUGACAAAUUCUGCAGCAAAUCUGCAGCUUGAUCAGCAGGAGGAGCACCAGCAGCCAUUCCGAGCUAGAUCUUCAACAGGAGAAGCUGUAAAACCCUGAAGAUAAAGAGGGUUUAAGGAAGGAGAUAGAAACCCUAGAAGAGAAGAGAUGGGUUCGAGAGAGUUGCAGCCGCCACACAACUAUAGAGAGAGAGAAAGAAAAAGUAAAAAAAGGGUUUAGGUCUGGGUUUUGAG